CCUACGGGUGGCAGCAGUAGGGAAUUUUGCGCAAUGGGGGAAACCCUGACGCAGCAACACCGCGUGAAUGUUAAGCCCUUCGGGGUGUAAAGUUCUGUCAAUAGGGACGAAUUUUGACUGUACCUAUAAAGGAAGCACCGGCUAACUCCGUGCCAGCAGCCGCGGUAAUACGGGGGGUGCAAGCGUUGUCCGGAAUCAUUGGGCGUAAAGCGUUCGUAGGCGGUAUGUCAAGUCUGAUGUUAAAGGCCCGGGCCUAACUCCGGGUCGGCCGUUGAUACUGGGAAAAUAGAAUGGGGGUGAGGGUAAAGGAAAUCCUGGUGUAGCGGUGAAAUGCGUAGAUAUCAGGAGGAACAUCGGUGGCGAAAGCGCUUUACUGGACCAUUAUUGACGCUGAGGAACGAAAGCCAGGGGAGCAAAUGGGAUUAGAUACCCGAGUAGUC
rnacentral:rRNA from 1 species